CCGCCAGCCGCGCGGCGGCCCCACUAACUGAACGUGCGGGCGGGCGGGAAGGCUUUUAACGGCCCCGCCGCUCGCGCUGCCCCUCCCGCUCCCCGCCGGAGCCGCCGGGGAGGGCCGGGGGCGGGGCUAAGAGGAGCCCCGAGGGGGCUGGGCACGGCCCGGGGGCCGGCGCUUCACCUGGGAUACGCCCACGGCGCGCGGCGGUCGCUGAGGGCGGGGGCGGCGCCCCGUUGUGAGGUCCGGAGAGUGGACAGUGAGCACCGCUCGGGGUAGGGGCUGUGAGGCGGCAGCGAGCGGAGGUGGCCGUGCUCAUUAACCCCGGCGGGAGGCUGAGAGCCCCGCUCGCUUCGCCCAGCCCCGGUUCCCUCAGCCUCCGCUGAGGUUGAUCUCCGCUCUCCGCGGCGGGUUUUUACCCCGUGCCAUGUGUGGCUGUCAGCUCAAGGCUGGGGAGCCCCGUUCUCUUCACUGAGCCCAUCUGGCCAUCGCCUCCGGGCUCAGCUCCCCCAGGCGGGUUUUCCCCCGGUGACUGUGAUUUCCGUGCUCCAUUGCUACGUGCAGUAAGCUGUAAGGAUACAGAACUGCAGAACCACGGGGGCUGGAAGUGAACUCUGGAGAUCAUCGAAUCCAACACCCUGCUAUAGCAGGUUCCCUACAGCAGGUUGUACAGGAAAGUGUCCAGUCGGGUAUUGAAUAUCUGCAGAGUCGGAGACUCCACAACCACUCUGGGCUGCCUGUUCCUCUGCUCUCAUCCUCACAGUAAAUUCUUCCUUGUUUUUAUAUGAAACUUCUUGUGUUCCAGUGUGUGCCCAUUGCCCCUUGCUCUGUGACUGCACAGCACUGAAGAGCCUGGCCCCGUUCUCUUGACUCCUGUGCUUUCAAUAUAAAUACAAUUACAUCCUUUCUUAGCCUUCACCAGGCAGAACAGUCCCAGAUCUCAGUCUUUCUUCAUGCCGGAGAUGCUCCGGGCCCCUCAUCAUCGCUGUUGCCCUCCAUUGGACUCCCUCUAGAAGUUCCCUUUCUUGAACUGGGGAGCCCAGAACUGGACACAGCACUCCAGAUGUGGCCUCACCAGGGCAGAACAGGGGGGGAGGAUCACCUCCCCCGACCUGCUUGCCACACUCUUCUUGGCGCACCUAAGGAUACACUGACAUUGGCCAUCAGGGCAUACUGCUGGCUCAUGGCCAACCUGUGGUCCAUCAGGAUACCCAGGUCCUUCUCUGAAAGCUCCUCUCCAGUAGGUGAGCCCCUAACCUGUACUGAUAUAUGUGGUCAUUCCUCCCCAGGUGUAGGACUCUGUACUUUCUCUUGUUGAAGCUCAUCAGGUUUCUCUGUGCUCAGCUCUCCAAACGGUCCAGGCAUUGCUGAAUAUGAUUUCUCUAUAUUUAAUAUUAAAAUGUCAAAUUUGACCUAGACUUUUCUUAUAUAUUCCUAUACUCGCUGAUGUGCAGUAGGAACACCGAAACUUACUCAAGCAUUGAAGCAUGAGAACUGGCAGUGUUGGGCUCACAGGUCUCUUGAUCUAUAAUCUCCACUCCUCUGUCAAUAUGAGGCCAUCUUGUCUUGAAGGUGCUGUGUGAGACUCCUGCCCCUCCCACCAUGAAAGAAAUUGGUGCAUAUAUGAUUAAUGACAUGCACGAUAGCCUGGGAAAUUCACAUUAUGAAGAUAAAGCAGUCCUGUUUAACUAACAAGACUAGCUUUGCCUAUAAUUAAUAAAGGUGAUACAUCUGGGUUACCCUUGUUCUUUGCAUUUGAACAAAAGUCUGUGAGAUUAAAACUAAGGACAAUGCCUGCAGGUGGCAAUGCCUGCAAAAGUUACAGGUGGCACAUGCAGUGUGACAGCUCCAAACCAAUGAAAGCUUUGGAAAACGUACAUCUCAGAUAUGUCUCCUUUCAAGGUCCAAGAGUAAACGGUGGGGCAUGGAUUGACGUCUAUUGGAGAUCAAGUUUGAAAUGUGUAGUUUGAUUUGAGCUCCCCCAGUGGCAGAUGCCAUAUGCUCAUUUGCAUAAAAUAAAUAGUAAAAAUCAGAUGUUUGGGACAAAGGAGGGCAGACCUGCAUGCCUUCAUGCCUGGCUUCCAGCAUGGCUGGCACAGUUACCAGGCACCACUAACAGUGUAUCAGUGAUUGUUAUCAGCAUGUGCUGACAAUUAGGGCUGCUCACAGGAAACAUAACUGAGAAGCAUCUUGUGUCCUACUUUAUAUCAUUUUCAGGGCAAUUGGAUCCUUCUCCUUCCAGGUUUUGCCCCAGUUUUGAGAAUGAUGUUGAAGCUACAUCUGCAGAAGAGGCUACAGGAUAGCUGCAUUCUGCCUCUUUGUGUUCUCUCAUCACACAGGAAGAGAUGGAGUUAUCAUGGCUUCAUGGAUUGAACCAGAGAAGGACUAUCUGCUGAGAAGCAUCACUUCUGAAUAGUUAUUUUGCAGUUCUAUCAUUGCUAGAGGAAAGUAAUUGCACACUUGACAGAACAGACUUUCUUGAGUAAGCAGCAGUUUACUUGAUUUUUCUUUUCCUUCCUUCAGAAAUGUAAAAGGAAAUUUAUCCAAGGAAAUGCCUAUUUUCUGUAUUCAUCAGUGCCAUUUUUUUUUUUCUCCAGUGAAUAGUAGUCUUCCUGUAAAAGGAAUUGUUGCAUUAUAGUGUCUCCCCUUAUCUACCUCUAGUCCAAUUUACUUUUUCAGAAAGUUGUUAUCAUCAGUGCCUAUUGUCUAUGCACCACUCUAGUCUUACUGAUGAGGCAGUACAGGCACUGUCUUAUUUUGGAGAACAUACAAAUAUUAUCAUUGGUUUACAUGCCUCGGGCUCUUUCUGGGCAUUUUUCCAGGUUCUAUAUAAGUGCUUUUAGGAGAAAUGUACCAUUUUGUUAUCCAUGUGUUACUACUACAGAAUUUAUCUUUAACUGUUAAAUGCUUAAACUAUCCCUGAGCAUAAAUGUGACUUUUAAAGAUGGACUUUACUCCUGGCAUUCUCCAGGUAUUAAGUUUGUCCACCCAAGAAUAGUGCUUUGUAUUUUUCCCUGCCACACACAAUUGUUAUAUAUCAUUGCUCAUUUUGUUUUAUAGCUCCUCAUAGUUUGCCAAGUGAUUGAGAGAAAAAUUAGAACGCUAUGGUCUGAACCUGGCUUCAAGUGUGAACCAGUUGCAAAAUGUGAAAUAAAAUAAGUGUUGCUGGCUUUGUAAUAACAGUCUGUCCUUUGUCAUUGCCGUGGCAUUUGACAGUGCAAAAACAGAAAUAAAAACUCUUCGUGAACAGGAAUGAAAUUUCAGAAGACAGAAGUUCCUACGAGCAACAUCUCUUGAAUUUUGAGUAGCAGAAGAAAUUGUCUCUGCUAUGCUUGUUAUGUUAUCACACGUUUCAACAAGACCAAAGGGCACUUAGAGCUAAAAUGCCCAGUUCCUACUACUAAUUAUAUCAGCUUGAGUUGACCAUUUUCACAGUGUAUGCUGCGGCUGAUACUGGAGUUUGGGCUCCUGCACCACUUCCAUACUAUCCAAUUUUGGUUUUUUUUGUUUUGUUUUGUUUUGUUUAAUUUUUGUCUGUACAUGUUUGAACUAGUUCAAGUCCCAGUACCACUGUUUAAAUGAAUCCCUGUUUUCUUUCACUGCUGAUUUACUGAGAGCCUGUACAGAAAAAUUUGUAUCUUCUUUAAGAAAGGAGAGCCUUGUCUUUGCAGAAACAGAGAUUUACUUGUAUUUCCAGUGCAAAUUUCAUUUUUUCAAUGCACAAUGUUAAUAUUUUUAGACACAAAUCAAAGUGCUAGUGGGGAAAGGUUCAUUUUGUUGUCCAUAAUUUUCCAACCCAUUUUUAUACCUGCCAGAAAUUGCUCAUAAAAUGAGAUGUCAUCUAAUUUUCAAUAAUUUAUUGGUAUUUCUUUCAGAUCUUCCAUGGCCCAUAACAGAAUCCUUAUGUCAUGAGCUGUCAAUAGAGUUUCUGGUUUCAAAACUUCAAUCUAAAUAAAUUGGGUAAAACAAAGUGGAGAGUGAAGGAUACAUCUCAUUUCUCUUUAGCUAUUUAGUAGUAGGUUGUCAUCUGUCUUGUCUAUGUGUCAGUUGAGAGAGCUGUGAGAGAGCUGUAACAGAGUGGGGAGACAGAAGGAGAGAGAGAGUCGGAGAGAAAGAGAUGUGCUUCCAAAGGAUGGUGCAUGUUCUGUCAUCACUGAAUAUCUGGAAUGCAUAACCUUGUGCCUGUCUUUCUGCAGAAACUGUAGACAAGCUUUUAUGACCAGCUUAGACUAGAUACUUCACUGCUAGGUGUUUAAAGAUUUAAGUCCUUCUUGCUGAAGAUUACUCUAAGGAGUUAUAGCUUUAGCAGGGCUGAAACAAAACCUUGUUCUCUUGAUUCUGAUUCAGUGUCAACAUUUCAAAGCCAUCUGAUCUCUAAACAUGCCACCUAUUCUACUUUCCGUAUUGUUUAGUGUAAGCAUAUAUAUAUAUAUAUACUUUUUCUGUAUGCUGGUAUACAAGCUACUGUUACUAUUCCACUCUUGGCACUCUUCUGCCAAUUUGUGUGGUGCUUUGCCAACAUGAAAGUACUAGUCUGGCAUGGAAGAAACUGAUUUUCAUUCCUGACCCAUUCCUAUAUUUGAACUUAUAUUUUUCAGGGUUGAAAGGCUAAUUCCACAAUCCCACAUAACUCUUUGACUAAUCCCAUUUAAGGUGACAAACAGAGCCAGAAGAAAACAAUUGGUUUAUAUUACUAAAGGAGCUACCAUAAUCCCUUGCUCAUGUAGCAUUCAGAAGUUGUUAUCUCUAUCCUUCAGCUUGUUUUGCAAGCAGCUGCUAGUUUUAUUGGCUUGAAGGCCAAAAUGGGCUGGGAAGAGAGCUUUGCCUUGGCAAUCAGGAGGUUCUGAAGUCUUAGUGGUGAGUGUCCCACAGAUUUACCACAGUGCUGGGGCUUACUAAUUUCAUUAUUUUUUCUCUUUUUUUCACAUUGAAAUUGGGCUAAGGAAACACUGUUAUGUAUGUUGCAAGAGGGAAUUGAGAAUUACUUAGUUAAUGAUUUAAAAUGUAUUUAAUUUUGCUAUGCAGCUUAUUGUAUUCUGCAUAAGUUAAUGCAGAGCAGUCAUGGAUGACCAAAGCUGCUUUAAAAAUAGGCUGUAGUUCUCUGCCAAUACCAGCAGUAACAGAUGAUUUGCUUCACAAGGUUGACCAUGAGUUCAAGAAGAACUGAAAUUUCCAACAAAGGAAGAACUGUGUUUGGUGAAUCAAACUAGGUCACAACUUAAACACAACUUUUUUUUUUUUUAAUUUUUUGUGUUUCGUGAAAAAGGACAACUUCCAUCUUUCACAACCUCUUUCCACCAAUGUUAUCCCAAAGGCGGGAUGAAUUGUGCUGCUUUGAGCUCUGUCAUGAUAUCAAGGUAUCAGCUGAGAGAAUGGAAUGUAACAGUGGUCUUUCUUGGUGUGUGAGAGACUCCUUUUUGGCUAUCGGGCAGCAAGUUUACACCUUCAAUUCAUGCUGUAAUCCAGCUGGAUAAAAUUUCAGUGAGUUGUUUGAUCCAGAUCUCCCAAACUACAAGAAUAAAUAAGAAGAUAAAUUUCCUGCAACAUUUUAAUCAGGUACUGAA